AGAGCAAUCACAAAAUAUAUUGUAGUGAAGUGCGCCAACCCCAAAAUUUCUAUCUUUCAGACAUAUCUAGUUUGUGUAGUGCAGGAAACUAAUUUAUACUAAGCACUGUCUAUUUGUGUGUGAUUAGCUGAAGAAUUUACUCUGUUUUUAAGCUGCAGCGUCAGGAGAAGAAGAAUCAGAGCAAGAAACGGGCGAAUUUUCACCUCCGUUUUCUCGUUACUGACAGAGCAAUUGUAGCGACGCGCGAAGAUGGUUCCAUAACAGAGCCCAGUAGCUCAUGGUGGCAGCAGAAAAUCAGGAUCGAGGAGAGGGCAUUCUGCAGGCACACGGCCGGCGAACUUCCCCAACACAAGCAGAAAGUGGAAACGUCGCCCUCCUCUCGGGCAGAGAAAGUGCACACAACAUACAGGCUGUAUAAUUAACAUGUGCCAGAAACGGGAGAAGUCAACGUCUAACUGUGGAUCUGUUACGAGAGGAACGCGUUACUUCAGCCAAAAAGUUACCAUUAACCAAUUCCUACUUCAGAUGGGAUAAUUAUCAAUAUGUCUUGACAACGUGUGGUCCUCCAUUUCUCAGAAACGGUCUUUUGCCAUCAUUUGAAUGCUUUCUCUGUUUAUUAUUAUUCUUACCCACAAACAACUUUCGAAUUAGACCCUGAAACAUUAAUAUUGUGUGCUCGUUGAAACGUUUGGGAUAACUAACUACAUGUGGUUAUAAAUCGUUAGCGUGUAACGUAUAUUUUUUUGCACUACCAUUAAUCUAUGUAUACUUUAAGCUUACAAACGUCAGAGCUUUCAAAAGCAGCUAUAGGCACGACCAACACUUGCUGCCAGUAAAUGUGAGAUUUGCUAAUUUACCUACACUCUAUACAUGGGAUAACGAAAUAAAUAGAAAUGUCGAGUUUCUCACAUAAAACAUAAACUAAUUAGUAGCUACUACUGGUUAUUGACUAUUUAGUAGUUAAUUGUUUUGUCGGAUAUAUAUCCGCUUAAACAAUUAAUAUUUACAUUGUAAAACUCCUAUUUUUCGAUACGUGAUCAAUACACACAGCACGGGUAUACUUAGUAUCACGAAUUAUUUGUUUCAGUAUUUAUGUCCUAAUAUUAAGUUUAAUGCAAUUCCGACUAUUACUGGUUCAAGCAAAAACUUUACUAAGUUGCCACUCUAUUGUAUUGCUUGGAGUUUUCUGUACUUUGUUGCUUCAAGGGAGGUAUUAAGACCAGAUAUUUUGUGUUUCGUUGAUUUUUAAUACAACUUAUUAUUUCUUUUUUCCUCAAAUAAUCGAUAGUCACAAACUCAGAUUUCAUAAAUAUGAAAUUAAUGACUCAUUGAAUUAUAAACCAGUACAACAGCACUGGUCACAUGGAUAUAAAAUACGCUAUAAACACACAGAAACAUAAUGAAUUAUAAACCAAUAGAACAACACUGGUCAAACUUAUAUGAAAGACGUUAUAAACACAAACUAACAUGCUGAGUUCUAAACCAGUAGACAAACACUGACCAAACUGAUAUAAAAUGUUAUAAACACACACUAACAUACUGAAUUAUGAAACAGUAGAAAAGAACUGGUCCCACAGAUAUAAAAUACGGUAUAAGCAUACUAAAUUAUAAACCAGUAGAACAGCACUGGCCACAUCGAUAUAAAAUUUCCUAUAAACACACAAACAAACUGAAUUAUAAACCAGUAGAAAAGCAGUGGCAACGCUAAUAUAAAAUACGCUAUAUAAACGCACGAACACAGUUAAUUACGAACCAGUAAAACAGCAGUGGUUACACCGAUAUGAAAUACGUUAUAAA